rnacentral:rRNA from 1 species
CAGCAGCCGCGGUAAUACGUAGGUGGCAAGCGUUGUCCGGAAUUAUUGGGCGUAAAGGGCUCGCAGGCGGUUUCUUAAGUCUGAUGUGAAGGCCCCCGGCUCAACCGGGGAGGGUCAUUGGAAACUGGGAAACUUGAGUGCAGAAGAGGAGAGUGGAAUUCCACGUGUAGCGGUGAAAUGCGUAGAGAUGUGGAGGAACACCAGUGGCGAAGGCGACUCUCUGGUCUGUAACUGACGCUGAGGAGCGAAAGCGUGGGGAGCGAACAGGAUUAGAUACCCCUGUAGUCCCUGUCUCUUAUAC